UACGUAGGGUGCAAGCGUUGUCCGGAAUUAUUGGGCGUAAAGAGCUCGUAGGCGGUCUGUUACGUCGGCUGUGAAAACCUGGGGCUCAACUCCGGGCCUGCAGCCGAUACGGGCAGACUAGAGUUCGGCAGGGGAGACUGGAAUUCCUGGUGUAGCGGUGAAAUGCGCAGAUAUCAGGAGGAACACCGGUGGCGAAGGCGGGACUCUGGGCCGAUACUGACGUGAGGAGCGAAAGCGUGGGGGAGCAAACAGG
rnacentral:rRNA from 1 species